UUUCAGGAAUCACUGAAAAACUAUUUGCAACUUAAUAAUCGGAAUUUGAGGAAUCAUUUUAUUGCUUCACUGAAUAACUGUUUGCAAUUCAUUGAUCGAUAAGAAAGAUGUUUAAUGUAUACGUAACCGAUGACAUAUUUUAUUCGUAUUUACAUACAGAAGGAAUUCAGGAAUAUUUCUUAUUUGGU